rnacentral:tRNA from 1 species
GUCAAUAUGUCCGAGUGUUAUGGAGAUAGACUUGAAAUCUGUUGGCUUUGCCUGCGUAGGUUCAAUCCUGUGCUGACG